UGCAAUUGAGCCUUCUGGGUGCUGCUGCAAGUUUGGGGGUAAACAGGAGAAUCAGGUUCUUAUAGGAGUGAAGUCUGCAAAGUCGGAUGUUUUCCUAAUUUGAAUGCAAUGACUGAAGUGGAAAAUGGUCAAAACUGAGCAGAGUGGCUCACACCUACAAUCCCCUAGGAGGGAAGGACAAAGGCAUCCAUAUCACCUGGCCACAGUGGUUGUGGUGGAAGCUGUAGCACUGAAGAGACGCAGCCCCAAGGCAGAUGCUGCCAAGAGAGGGAGACAGAGCUACGUCUGAUGUCUCCCUUCCUCCUUCCCUGGUGCCUCCCUCCUCUUGUCCUCCUGUCUCCCUUCAGAUGAAAGAACUGACGCUGAGACUUGCACUCUACCAUAGGCAGAAGCACCCACCUCCCUGUUCCCAACCCUGGAAGGGCAAGGAAUGAAACUGAGGCAAAUAGGGCCAGCACUGUCAGUCUGCUCGAUUUUCCCUCAGAGCAUUUAUCUUCCUUGACAUAUUUACAAUUUUUUGUUUAUUGUUGGUUUCUCUACCUUGACUAGAAUGUAAGAUCCACAAAGGCUUGGGCUUUGCUGUUUUGUUCACUAUGUCCAUAGCUCCCAUAACAGUGCCUAAAACAUUGUAGGCAAUCAAUAGAUAUUCUUUGGAUAAACAAAUAUGCCUCAACAUUGAGUCUGACUUAUAGCAGACAUUGAAUAAAUAUCUAUUGAAUGAA
rnacentral:lncRNA from 1 species